UAGGGUUCUGUGGAGAAAAGCAUUUACAGUCACUGGUGUGCGUGGCCGAAGAGCUCUAUUUUCACGUCAUCUGACUAUAGCAGCGGUUCCUGGCCAUGUGCCAUUGCCGUUUAUCAAACUUAGCCUAGGCAGCUGAUAGUGGGUGCUAGAUCUGCACUAUUGUUUAUGAUUGAUGCGCAUAGCAGGUAAUACUCUCCUGUCCCCUGUGGACCAGCUUGUACAUAAAGCAUCUUCCAUUCAGGCAGCAAGGUAUGAUUUUCCACUUUAACUAGCUUAAAAUGACGGGCCGUCUGAAAAACAAAUGUGUACUGUCUUAAUAAAACACCAUCUUCCACCACUGCUGUACACCUUUAGCUGAACGUGGUGUGCAACAUCCUAAGUUAUCAGAAAAUGGUUGUGGACAUUUUUGUUUUAUUAAGACAGCACACAUUUCUCUUCAGAUGGCGCGCCAUUAAAGCUAGUUAAAGAGGAAAGUAAUGCCUUUGCAGCCUGAAUGGAGGAUACUAUAUUUACCAGCCGGUCCACAAGGGACACUAGUGUAUUACUGGCUAGGCACAUCAAUCCUAAACGAUAGCGCAGAUCUAGCGCCCACUAUCCUGGCAACGAAUGUUCCGCCCUCACAGGCCCCUGAGCCUAAGUAAGGAUAUGAUUGGAAUGGAAUAUUGUCUUUUAAAGACAAAGAAGUGGGAAGUAAUAAAACUUUUCAUGAUGUAGUCCACCCUAAAACCCCACCAAAGAAGAAGAAGCUCAUGGAGAUCUCCAAGAACAGCGGUUCCCAAACUAGCGGUUGCAACCCCAUGUGAUAUGAAAAUGGGGUUGCAGGAGAAUUGUCAAAAUCCUGGUAAAAAAAAAUGUAUGUAAUAAUAAUAAUAUUGUAACAUCGUCUUUGUCUCUCAAAAUCAUUGUAAUGUGGUUAAUCUUAAAAAUCUAAAUGAAAAUCCUUCAAAUCUUAAAUCGUGGGAAAAGGCAGCACUUGACUGUUGGACUUGAAUCAUUCACAUGAUGAAUGGCUAAGCCCGCUACGCUAGCAAACCACACACUAUUGCAGAGACUUUCAUAUUACCAGCCGCAAUUGAUAUGGUGAAAACAAUGUGUCGGGAGGCACCGAAACUCACAUCAAUACCUAAAAAAUUGGACUGAACAACUCCGAAACUCCCCACCUUAUGCUCUCCAAAUGGACGUUAGCUGUGAGGGCUGGGAUGCAUUGACCUUUGUUCGCUGUAUGUCGGGGGAUAUAAUUCAGUGGGACAUCAUUUUCUGUCUCACGAUUCCCGAGCAUGAAACAGCACAGGGGAUGUUCAGUGUGCUGCGUGGCUAUAUUGACGAAAAACAGAUUCCACGGGAUCGAAUGGUGGGCUUUUGCACAGAUGGGGCUUAUUCUAUCACGGGUACGGCGGGCAGGCCUCUGCACUCUAAUUACGAAUACGUCUCCCUCUGCCAUAUGGACACAUUAUAUGAUACACCCACUGAGCUAUAAUGGAUACACCGAGAGCAACUGGCGGCAAAAAAAGCUGAGCGCAGAACUCAGAGAUAUGCAGCAGGUUGGAUGUGACAGGAGAGAUGAGGUGCGCACUGUCGACCACACCCCUUGACUUAGAGAAGCUCCGACGCGACAAGCAUCAAGGACACCUUAUUAGUGAUGGUGUCACCCAUCUUCCCCAUUAUCCCAUGUGUAUUUAUACCUGUGUUCUCUGUUUGUCUGUUGCCUGUUUAUUUUGUUUCCCCUUGUGCCUGCCUUGUCUAUUUUCCUGUUUUCUAGUUUUCCCGGUUUUGUCCUUUCUGCCUGCCCUGACCCUGAGCCUGCCUGCCAUCCUGUACCUUUGCCCUCUACUCUGGAUUACCAACCUCUACCUGCCCUGAGCCUGCCUGCUGUCCGGUACCUUUGCCCCACUACUCUGGAUUACCGACCUCUGCCUGACCUGAGCCUGCCUGCCGUCCUGUACCUUUGCCUGCCCAUGUUCGAAUUAAUAAACUUUUGUUACUUCGACAUUAUCUGCACCUGGGUCUUACCUUCAAACGUGAGACAAUCCCUGUCCUAGAAUAAGAGUUUCAAGGGAACUGUGGCUGCGUCCAGCCCACAGGCCAGGUUUAUGCUCACUCUCUGGUCACUCUCUGGUCACUCUCUGGUAUUUAGUACAAAGUUUUGGACUUUUGCUCUUUGGAGAACAACAAGAAAAUAAAAAAAAACAUGCAGCUAAAGGCAUUAAACAAUUUCUCUGAUAGAAAAUGUCCUAAGUGGCAUCGAUAUUAGUCAGAAACAUUUAUUUUAUUGUCAGAAUUGACAACAAAGUGUAAAUAGGAUAAUUUAGGAUAACUGAGUUUUGUAAGUGAGUUCAUGACUUGAGAGUUGGGUUUUGAUUUUGACAAACCACUAAAACAGGAUACACAGCUGCGACGAUUGCGCUCUACCCAAUCCUACAGCAGAACACACAGUCAGUAGGCAGGUAUCCAUUGACCCAGGUAUAUUCGACAAAAGCUAAAUAAUUGCAAUGUGUAAUGGAAAUGGCAGAUACAGGAGAAAUGUUCUAUAGAUUGAAAAAAAUAUAUAUUUGUUCGAUAGGGAUGGAUUUGUCUGACUUACUUUACUGCAACAAAUAAUGAUGGAAACUGUGUUUAUCUAAUAAAUUAAUGCUGAAUAAUUUUGAAAGAAUGCCUACGCGGGGCACAUGAUGUCAUCACGUAACUAUAAAGCUCCACAUUUAGUUCUAAAUGCAACUGAAGAAAUUAGAGAGGCUCUGAAUUCAAUGAAAAAAGGGAAAUCACCUGGCCCUGAAGGCCUAUCAGUUGAAUUCUAUAGACAGUUUGGGGAGUUACUAGAAUACCCUAUUUUUAAUAUGUUUCAAGGUUGCAUUAAAAGUGGGGAAAUGGUCUCCACUAUGAAACAGGGCCUUAUUUCAUUGAUUCCGAAGCCCGAUAAAGACCCUUCGCUCAUUGACCAUUGGAGACCAAUUACUUGAUUAAAUAUUGAUUACAAAUUGAUUGCUCUGGUUUAUGCCAAAAGAUUAAAGAAAGGAAUAGAUACCAUUAUAAAUGAGACUCAAACAGGAUUUAUGAAGGGCCGUCACAUAAGCUCUAACAUUCGUUUAGUCUCGGACCUUAUAGAUUAUUCAGAUGCAAUUGACUCAGAUGCGGUUGUCUUAUUUCUGGACUUCUGUAAUGCCUUUGACACAAUUGAACAUGAAUUUCUCUUCAGGUCACUUAAACUUUUUGGAUUCAGUGAAAUUGUUAUCAAAGUCAUUCGCAUGUUUUACAAAGAUAUAAAUAGUUCUGUGUUACUAAACCUUAAUACUUCCAAAAGAUUCAGUAUCAACAGAAGUGUACGACAGGGAUGCCCAAUUUCGCCAUUUUUAUUCAUUUUGGUUGUGGAACUUCUAUCUCUAGAUAUUCUUAAUAAUGCAAAUUUGUAUGGCUUAACCAUUUUUAACAAAGAAAUCACAAUUUCUCAACUGGCUGAUGAUACAACUCUUUUUUUUAAGAGACAAAGACCAGGUUGCCCUUAAUGCUAUAACUGCAUUUUCUAUUGCAUCAGGAUUAAAACUGAAUGUUUCUAAAUGUGAAAUCUUAUGUUUAUUUGACUCUGAUGAUAAAGAAAUAGAAAAUAUUCCUGUAAAGGACUGUGUUAAAUAUUUAGAAAUACAUCUGUCAAAAAAACACUUAGUCAGACAACAUAUGAAUUUCUCUCCUAAAAUUAAGAAAACCAAAAAUAUAUUUAAUAAUUGGCUACAAAGAGAUCUUUCUAUACUUGGGAGAGUACUUCUGUCCAAGGCAGAGGGACUGUCUCGUUUUGUGUACCCCUCAUUAUCUUUAUUUGUAAAUCCUUCUACUUGUAAAGAGAUCAAUAAGACCUUUCUUGACUUCAUCUGGAAAAAUAAGUCUCACAAACUAAAAAAGUCAGUCCUUUCUAAUAAAAGAGCUGAAGGCGGUCUGGAAGUGUUGGAUUUUGUUGACAUAAAUAACUCUUUCAAGAUCAACUGGUUGAAAAGAUGAUUGAUCAAUACUAAUUCAAUAUGGUAUUUCAUUCCAAAUAAUGUGUUUAAUACAUUGGGAGGUCUUCAAUUUUUACUGAAAUGUAAUUAUAUUCCUGAAAGAUUACCCGCUAAAUUGGCUAGGUUUCACCAACAAGCUUUAAUGGCCUGGAAAAUAUGUUUCCUGCACAAUUCUUCCCCACAUAAAGAUCGUUUGUGGAAUAAUUCAGACAUAACUGUAAGGAAUAAGUCAUUGUUCUACCCCAGCUGGCAUGAGAGGAAUAUUGACUUUGUUCUUAAUGUUUUCGACAACAGGGGCAAUAUUCUUACAUAUGAAUAAUUUAUAACAUUGAAAGAGUUUCCAAUACCUUUCAGAGAGUGAUCAAAGCCAUUCCCAGUGGUCUAACUACACUAAUGAAAACUCAUCUUAGCUUUAGUAAUGAUCACAAAGCUUAUCCAGAACUCAGAUGGAAGGUGUGGGCUUACUUGAGAGAUCUAGUUGUAAUAAAUAUAAAAGACAAAUUCACUAUUCACAAAACCAACUAACACUGAGAGGAACAUUUUUCUCGAACAUGCUUAUUGCUGACAUUGUCUGGAAAAUGCAUGGUUAAGGCCUUACAAAUAUUGUAUACCAAACAAAGUUACGGAAGUGCACUUUAAAAUUUUACAUAAGACAUAUCCAUGUAAUUUUAUGUUAUCCAAAUUUGUGGCUAUUGAUGAUAUCUGCGUUUUCUGUGAAAAAGAAGGUGAAAAUAUAUCUCACUUGUUCUUUGAAAAAAUUUGUGUCAGAAGUUUGGGAAAACCUUGCAAAAUACAUAUUUACCAUUAUGAACACCACCCAUGUUUUGACAUGAAGAAUAUAAUAUGCUACUAUUGCAAUGAUAACAAGACCAUUGAAAUUAUUGUGAAUGUUUUUAUUCUUGUUACAAAAUACUUUAUACACAAACAAAAAUUCCAAAAUUCUAUACCAAAAUAACACAUAUUUCUGAUUGAAUUUAACUAUCUUAUUAAAACAUUAACCCUAGUGAAUAACAAUAAGAAUAACAUUU
rnacentral:lncRNA from 1 species